rnacentral:rRNA from 1 species
AUUGAACGCUGGCGGCAUGCUUUACACAUGCAAGUCGAACGGUAACAGGCCGCAAGGUGCUGACGAGUGGCGAACGGGUGAGUAAUGCAUCGGAACGUGCCCAGUCGUGGGGGAUAACGCAGCGAAAGCUGCGCUAAUACCGCAUACGAUCUAUGGAUGAAAGCGGGGGCCCGUAAGGACUCGCGCGAUUGGAGCGGCCGAUGUCAGAUUAGGUAGUUGGUGGGGUAAAGGCUCACCAAGCCAACGAUCUGUAGCUGGUCUGAGAGGACGACCAGCCACACUGGGACUGAGACACGGCCCAGACUCCUACGGGAGGCAGCAGUGGGGAAUUUUGGACAAUGGGCGCAAGCCUGAUCCAGCAAUGCCGCGUGCAGGAAGAAGGCCUUCGGGUUGUAAACUGCUUUUGUACGGAACGAAACGGUCCUGGUUAAUACCUGGGGCUAAUGACGGUACCGUAAGAAUAAGCACCGGCUAACUACGUGCCAGCAGCCGCCGUAAAAC